AUUGAACGCUGGCGGCAUGCCUUACACAUGCAAGUCGAACGGCAGCACGGGUGCUUGCACCUGGUGGCGAGUGGCGAACGGGUGAGUAAUACAUCGGAACAUGUCCUGUAGUGGGGGAUAGCCCGGCGAAAGCCGGAUUAAUACCGCAUACGAUCUACGGAUGAAAGCGGGGGACCUUCGGGCCUCGCGCUAUAGGGUUGGCCGAUGGCUGAUUAGCUAGUUGGUAGGGUAAAGGCCUACCAAGGCGACGAUCAGCAGCUGGUCUGAGAGGACGACCAGCCACACUGGGACUGAGACACGGCCCAGACUCCUACGGGAGGCAGCAGUGGGGAAUUUUGGACAAUGGGCGAAAGCCUGAUCCAGCAAUGCCGCGUGUGUGAAGAAGGCCUUCGGGUUGUAAAGCACUUUUGUCCGGAAAGAAAUCCUUGGCCCUAAUACGGUCGGGGGAUGACGGUACCGGAAGAAUAAGCACCGGCUAACUACGUG
rnacentral:rRNA from 1 species